rnacentral:lncRNA from 1 species
CAGUUUGUUAGAUUACUAGCCACACCCUCUCAAACAUUAGAACAAUGAAUUGCUCAUUUCAAGUUCUACAAUUCUUCUCGAUUACAGGGGAAAGGAAGUGGCUUUCCCCUGUGCGUGAUUUUGUUCCCCGGACCAUCGAUGAAAUAUGCAGCAUUCUCCUACCUGGCUGAGAACUCGCUUUGAAAAUAUCGUCUCUAAUCCGUCUUCAUGUUUUCCAGCGGGAAUUUUUUUAUUCCCAUUUCCCAGAUGGAGUAACUGAGAGCAGAGUCCGGAGAGAGCUUGCUCAGGGACCGGAACCACAGGCAUUGGUGGUGGGGCUGAGGAUGAAUUCUCAUUUCCUGCCUCACAAUCCCUGGUAACCCGGGAAUGACCUUCCUGGGCAAUGUUAGAAACACGAACAUAUGAAAUGGAGAAGUUAGACUGCAGUCCCCUGGACCGCAUCCAGGACACUGAAAUGAGUGUCCUGCUCCUAUGAAAUGCAUUUGGAAAAUUAUCUGCUGUUCUGAACGUAAUUCGAGGUGAAGCAGGUCUUCCGUGGAGGCUCCGAGAGAAUCCCAGCCCCCUGGACCGUGACUUGCAGUCAAUGUCAACAAAGUUUCAAUCACUGCAAUGCGCAGGGAUGGAAGCUGUAUAAAAGAACCAAGAUGAGACGAAAUUUCACUUGGAGGAACGCUCCAGAGAUAAAAUUUCAGCCCCCAACCUGGCGUGAAGCAGCCCGCGUGCAUGUCCCACAUUCCGGCUGGCAUCUCAGGAAGCCCGAGGGCUGUCCAGUCACCUGCGGCAGCUACGGGAGCCUCCCUGCCUCGUUCUGGAGCUGCUCCCACCCCUCCCCAAUUUCAAAUGGCUCCUCCUUUCAGGCUGCUUCUUCUGCCCUGGGACCUGGCGUUGGUGUGUGUGGUGUGGUUUCCCUGCUUUUUGUUCUCAAGGAUUUGGGGCUGUGGAUGGCCAUCUGAAAAUACCCAAGUCUCCUGUGUGAGACACGAAAGAUGGGAGACAGCAAGCCUGUGGAGACUUGGGACCAGAGCAAGAGAACACAUGAGAAGUGAGCAGCCCAUGUACAGGACCGCUGGAGUUCUGGAAGGAUGCAGCUGUAUCUCAGAGGAUGGCUGGUGUGGGGGACAGUAUCUUGGGUGGAUACAGGACAGAGCUCAUCUGAAGCAGCAGGUCAUAAGGGUGGCAGAGCAAACCACUGAGAAUACAUAGGUUACCCAGCCCACAACACCAAGUUGGCAAGUGUAACAGUGGCCAGUCAGUGUGACAGCCCUCUCCCUACUGGAACAAAGACCAACCAGGGACAAGAAGAAAGAGGGAGAAGGAACUCUUGAUUGUGACUCGCUUAUAGCGGAUGAUAGCUGGGAGAUCACUGAAUUUAACUGUGUUUACCCCCAAAAUAAUUACAUUAACUUUUCUGUAUCUGUUUGAAUGAGGACUCAAGAUAGGAAGUCAGGCUAGAAACAGGAAAAGUAAAGAAAGGUACUUUUUUGUCCACCCGAGUCUGUGUUUUAUGAAAUGAACAGGCGUUAGUUACAUUAGCUUUUAUUUGUGAUUAUUGAGUAUUAAUAUUAUGCCAACUACUUUACACAUAUCAUCUCAUUUAAUCGUAACAGCUCUGUGAUGUUUGGAAUUGGAGGGAAGAAUUUAUCCAGGAUAACAUUUGUACCUUUGAAUUUCAAGCCCUGUGACUGUAUUGAUACCUAUGUAACAAUAAAUAUAAUUAAAAUAAUAAAACUGAAGUUCA